CUAUCAUCGCUGUCACUUCCAGCCAUGUCGCCAGCUGUUGUCAAUCGACCCAUCAUGUCCGUGAGCUGCUUCUCUGAACUGGUUCCAGGUUUCGCUAGAUCUACAAAUUUGACCACAUCACGCUUCAAAUUCUUGAGAGUAAAACACUUGCGUUUCACAUGGCCAGGAACCCCGCAAUAUUCACAGACUACCACAGAUUCCUCUUCUAACUCUGGCUGAGAACCUUGCCCAUAUCUACUGUUUGAUUCAUUAUUUCUAAAAUUUUUGUUAUUGUAACGGUUCGGUUGUUGAUUGUUUCUGUUGUUGUUGUUUGUGUGAUUGUCAUUGCGAUUAUUGUAUUGUGUGUUGUAUCUGCCAGAAUAGCGAUGAUUUUGAUUACGAUGAUAAAAAUUGUUCGCAUCACGUCUGUAGUUAUUAUUAUUGUUGUUAUUUUGUGACUGUGAGUUUUGCCUAAUGUACGGACGAAAACCUAAUCUCUCAUGCACCGAUCUACGAAAGUUGUUCACUUGCCCAGAAGAACGAAAAUUAUGUUGUUGUGGAGAAUAUUGAUCGAUAAACCCGACAGGAAGAUUAUAAUAAUUGAAGUUGUUGUUGUUAUUGUUCAAUGCAUGCGCGUUAUCCCUGGCUAUAUUCCACGUCGUAAUUAGUUUAUCCAUUUUAUCUAACGUUAAACCUUCCUCCUUCAACAACAUUUCCUUCAACCGAUCAUCCCUUAAGCCCGCCAAAAUGCGGUCUUGGAUGGCCACAUCACGAAAGGCACCGAAACCACAAAAAUCCGCCUGCAGCUUGACGGCCUGUACAAAUUCUUCUGCCGUUUCGUCAGGCUGCUGAUUACGCAGACUCAACCGGAAUCUUUGAACAAGGUCAGGUUCUACCCUAUCUAGCUUCAAUUUAAGUUUGGCUUCAAUAUCGUUGAAGGUUGCAUUGGCCAAAUCCUUCUCAUUAUAAAUCGUUUUAAGUUGAGUAAAUAGAUAAGGACCGCAUAAAUUCAUAAAACGGCAAAUCCAGUCCGAAAACGAAGAACCCUUGCGGAACGGCUCGAUGGAUGAAACCAUGCCUCCUUGGCUCAUUUCAACAAACUUCAAUCAAUAGUUUUUAAAAAAAAUCAAAAAAAAAACACAAGGAGACCUAUUAGUCUGGCUCAAAAUCAAUAUAUAUAAAGCGCUUCCAGGUACUGCAACACGUGGCUCGUUCCCCGCUCACCCGUAGCGACAGAAAUUACCAGCCGGUCACCUAUCAGCUUCCGACAACGUCGAAAUCAUUUGGUUCUGUUCCGAAAUCACCGGAAGGACAAUCCACCGCCUCGUUGAUGAUUCCCGACACGUCACAAAAGGCAGAACACACCGCCCCGGCCAGAAAACACCAAAAUGUCCGGCUCCUCGGAUCGACCCUGUUAAAACAAAAGAUUACAUUCUUAUUACUCUUCAAACAAAGAUGUUAGACCUGCCGUAAACAGGCAGUCGUUAAAAAUUAAUUAUUGUUAUAGUUUCAAUAAUAAAAAAGAGGUUCUACACCACGAA
rnacentral:lncRNA from 1 species